rnacentral:lncRNA from 1 species
GUACUAGCUGUCAGCUGCUGGAGACCUUGCUUUCUGUUUCACUGGGAAACAGAAGCAAUCAGAAGGAAACUUCCUCAGACUCCACCUCUCCCUUCACUCCCGCCUGUAUCCGUGCCUGUUACCUGGACGCCUUGUGGAACUUGAAUUCUACGCCCUCCACUGGGACACUGCCCUUCAUCCUCUCUCACCUCCUCCAGGACAACAAAUGUUGUAGUCCUCAUCAUCAGCAGAGACUUUGUGCCAUCCUCUGCUAUAUUAUCCUGAAGAGUGCCUGGCUCAUGCUGCAGUGUUCUGAAUAGCAGUCCAGCUAUGAGGGGAGGUGCCCGUGGCAGGCCUCAGCUGACCCUGGAGAGGCCAUUAAGACCUGGCUGUCGCCUCCACAGCUGCUCGGAGGCAGAGAAAGGUGGCUUUGUAAGAAGAAAAGAGAUCAUUCUUUUUCCACCAUGUGAGGACCCAGCAAGAGGGUGGCUGUCUGCAAACCCAGGGAGAGAGCCCUCACCAGGAAUCUGCUGGCACCUUAAUCUUGGACUUCCCAGCCUCCACAACUGUGAGGAAUAAAUGUAUGUUGUUUAAGCCA